GGCCCUGCCACGGCGCGUUUGCUCCUGGCUGCAGUCGUACCGCACUAAGCGCCAGGGAAAACCGAGGUGUUCAAAAACACGGAAGAAGUUGAGUAGCUCUUAUUCGGACUUCUAAUGUAGAGUUGGCUUAAAAUUUUGAAUCUAUGCAUGCUGUUUUCUCAAACAUAUGUUGGUGAGGCAUUAAAAAAAAGGUCCGUUAAAUAUAUUUGGGGAACGCACCUUUAGGUAUGUUUAUAGACAACGUAUAUAUUUACCAUGUUGUUACGAAUCCCAAAAUUCAACAGAGGACAAAACCCAGGGCAGAAUCGAAAUUCUGUGAGAAACUGAAUUUCUGUAAGUUUUAUGUCUCCUGUGGAUUUACUGCAUUUAUGGGGUUUUGCAGCAUUUAUAUUGGCUUAUAUUGGGUGGGUCUACCCUACAAGCACCCCCCCUACUCCCCAGCCCUCCCUAAGUGAUUAAUGAGUACCGAGGCCUUGACUGCUGUGUUUGUUUCCUCCAGAUAUUCUUAAAGCACUCAGACAUCCUCCGGCAUUCAGGUUUAGUAAAAAGCCUUGAGCUGUGGGAGCCAUCUGACUUGAGAAACGAUGGAGGGGGCUGGCACAAAGCUGCUGAUACUUCUCCUGCCAGACUGACUCAGAUGAUGUUCUCCGGAGGCCAGAAGAGACGAGCUGGAGCACAGGAAGAUGUCUGCGUCAGCCGUGGCUCGUAUCUGUGUCUGUGCCCUGCAUGCCAGCACACUGGUAGCCACAGGCACUGGGGUCCCCUUUGUGGGGAGCUGUGCAGCAUUUUCUGUAAGAAAACCAGGGAUGCUCUCAAGCUGCAAAGAGAAGGCUACAGCUGCAGCACGCACUUGUCCCUGUUGCUAAGGUAACACAUAUCACACCCACACUGGCCUAGAAGCAAAACAGCACGCAUGGGAAAUUUCAUAGGGCCGGGAGCCUCGCGUGGGAGAGCACUGCUCUCUCAGGUGCUGCUGCCUCCUGCACUACUGAGCCAGGUCUCACAAAUCCCUCACAGAUAACUCUUUGCGUGCAGUUUCCCUGAUUGUGCUGGAGGUUGCUGUGCCAUCCAUCUAGGUGUGCACCUGAAAUACGUUGUCUUGUAAUGAUCUGCCUUCUUUGCUGAGAAAUACCUGUAAUGCCUCUGCUUGCUGAUGGUUUCGGGCAGCAGGACUGUGCAGCACAAGGCAGUUGGAUGCCCACUGAAACAAAGGGUGGGCAGCUCUGCUUUCCGUUCUGAACCAGGAACACAGAGCAACCUCUGCUGUAAUACAGGAGCUGCAUGUUUUUAACCACUUUUUAACAUCAUUCUUGUUUUGCCCAGCAGUGCAUGCUGUAGAAGCUCACAGAGAAACACAUCUCAGCAGCUGUGAAAAGCACAUCUCCAAUGCUGACUUGCAUUUAAGUUCAAGUGCUCCAAAAGUGAGAGGUCAUAUAUGUUGAAAACUGCUUGAGUCUCUCAUUUAUGACUUCCAAGGCACAUGGAAGUGUCUUCUUCUGGUCUUUAAAUUAGGCAACUUAUUUUACUACCACUGCUAGGCAGGGAUCUGCCAUUUUAUACUGGCUUACAGCUCUUUGGAAUACCAUUGAUCACUCUCUGGGGUCAGCAAGCUGUGACGGGCACGAGUCACAUACAAAAGCCAAUGAACAGGAGGCAGCGACUGCUGUGGCUGGCAGGAAACUGCUGUAGAGUGACAUAAAAGCCUGAAUGCCUAAAGCAAAGGGUGUCAGUAGCUGUGAUUUGUCAAACCAACUGUGAGGGCUGUCUCCCUUGGCAAGAAAUGCAGUGGCCAGGCCUCUGUCUGUGUUCCUGGACUCACUCACCACAGGUACCCUACCCUAACACAGAAACCCCCCAUACCCAGACCUCACAAGGCAGCAACGUGAUACCUUGUUCUCCCUCAGGCACCACAAAGGAUUCACAGAGGAGCCUUUUAUCCCUUUCGCUUCUGAUCUGGAAACCUAAGCAUGCUGAGGUUAAAUGAACUGACUAAGGUUGCAUAAUUAGCCAGUGGCAGAGCUGAGAAUAGACACCAUCUCCAUUUUUCCAGGCCUAACAUCUAACUCUCAGGCCCUUCUUGGGGGCAUAGGCAGGGCUAGCAAAACUGUAUAUCACCACUAUAGAAUAUGACAUUUUUAGAACAGGCUCAACCCUGAACUUACUACAGUUAAAAAGAAAGAAGAAAAAAAAGUAAACAAAACUAAACCAAACAAAAACAUGGGAAAAAGAAUUUUAAAAAUGAAAAGCAACAGUAUUUUCUUUUUAAGAGUGUUCUUGCCUGGGUAAGAAGGUAAAAAUGGAAUUCAAGUGGCAUUUAUAAAUAUUAAUGGGAUCAUAAGCACUAGCACAUUAAAUAAGUUCCCAAGGGCCAAAGACUGAAUUAACUUUGAAUAAUAGUUGCUGAAGACCUAGGCAAAAAUAAAGCAAUGCUGUGAAGAAAUGUUAUCCUUUCAUAGAUGUUUGGUAGGGCUAAAAUGCAGUUACUUGUCCUCCAUUUCAAAAUAAACUAUUUUUAUGGAAA